AAAAUUCUGAAGACACUUUUAGUCUCCAUCUUUUGUAUUAUCCGGGGAAGCUGGAAGACUGCCCCCAAGGAGUGCCGCCCUAUCAGUGCUGUUUUGAGUGGAAAUGGUCAAUCAUACCUAUUAUUUCCCCAGAAGAGGGCUCAACAUGGUGCUAGGAACACAGUGAGGUGAUAAUACAUGUUUGCUGAGCUGAAAAUGAAUGGCCCUGCAAUCCGCUGAGGGCUGGAACCAGAACCAGUAAUACAAGCAUAAGAUACAAAAUUCAACAUGUG